rnacentral:rRNA from 1 species
UACGAAGGAGGCUAGCGUUGCUCGGAAUCACUGGGCGUAAAGCGCACGUAGGCGGAUUGCUAAGUCAGGGGUGAAAUCCUGGAGCUCAACUCCAGAACUGCCUUUGAUACUGGCGAUCUUGAGUCCGGGGAGAGGUGAGUGGAACUGCGAGUGUAGAGGUGAAAUUCGUAGAUAUUCGCAAGAACACCAGUGGCGAAGGCGGCUCACUGGCCCGGUACUGACGCUGAGGUGCGAAAGCGUGGGGGAGCAAACAGG